rnacentral:rRNA from 1 species
CCGGCGGCGUAGGAUAGCUCUGCGGCCUAUCAGGUUGUAGCGAGGGUAACGUCCUCGCUAGCCUACGACGGGUAUGGGUGUUGGGAGACAUCGCCCAGAGAUGGAUUCUGAGACACGAAUCCAGGCCCUACGGGGCGCAGCAGGCGCGAAAACUGCACAAUGUGGGAAACCACGAUGCGGGAAACCCAAGUGCCAGCACUAAGUGUUGGCUGUCCUCCAGUGUUCGUAACUGGGGAAGAAAGUGCUGGGUAAGACGGGUGCCAGCCGCCGCGGUAAUACCCGCAGCACAAGUGGUGGUCAUUAUUAUUGGGCCUAAAGCGUCCGUAGCAGGCUUGUUAGAUGCCUGGGUAAAUCGAUGCGCUCAACGCAUCGACUUCCGGGUAGACCGGCAAGCUCGAGACCGGGAGAGGUGUAGGCUACUCGAGGGGUAGGGGUAAAAUCCUGUAAUCCUUCGGGGAGGACCAGUGGCGAAGGCGCUACACUAGAACGGCUCUGACUGUGAGGGACGAAGCCCUGGGGCGCAAACCGGAUUAGAUACCCGGGUAGUCCAGGGUGUAAACGCUGCAGACUUGGUGUCGCCGGUCCUACGAGGGCUGGCGGUGCCGGAGAGAAGUCGUUGAGUCUGCCGCCUGGGGAGUACGGUCGCAAGACUGAAACUUAAAGGAAU